UAAGGAAUAUUGGUCAAUGGACGCAAGUCUGAACCAGCCAUGCCGCGUGGAGGAUGAAGGUCCUCUGGAUUGUAAACUUCUUUUAUCUGGGACGAAACACUUCUUUUCUAAGAGGCCUGACGGUACCAGAUGAAUAAGCACCGGCUAACUUCGUGCCAGCAGCCGCGGUAAUACGAAGGGUGCAAGCGUUACUCGGAAUUACUGGGCGUAAAGCGUGCGUAGGCGGUUCGUUAAGUCCGUUGUGAAAGCCCUGGGCUCAACCUGGGAAUUGCAGUGGAUACUGGCGAGCUAGAGUACGGUAGAGGAUGGUGGAAUUCCCGGUGUAGCGGUGAAAUGCGUAGAGAUCGGGAGGAACACCCGUGGCGAAGGCGGCCAUCUGGACCAGUACUGACGCUGAGGCACGAAAGCGUGGGGAGCAAACA
rnacentral:rRNA from 1 species